rnacentral:misc_RNA from 1 species
ACUGAUGAAGAGAUAGCCUUCAUUGCUCAGUCAGCAACCAACUACUGUAACCUUGCUCGUGUCCAUGCAGCUGAGAAUUCCAAGUCCUUUGACGAAAUUGAAUUUGAAAAGAUGCUUCGUAAGAAGUAUGCCAAACGUGAUGAGGAAUAUGAUUCUAUGAUUGGUGUUGUCCGUGAAACACCUCCCGAGCUUGUACUUCCUGAUAAUAUCCUCCCCGAAAAAGCUGCUAAGAGCAUCGCCCAAUGAGAUCAGUGCCCAAGCAACUCUCUCUUUUUUUGCUUUCCAGAGAUUUAUUUUACACCGUGAGCAUCUGUAUGGAGAACAGUCAUGGAUAUUGGCUGUUACCCUUCCAAAUAAUAUCAAACUUAUUGGAUAGCAUCGGUACGUCACUGCUUUGUAGUUAAGACUUUUGCCCCUUAUUUCCCAGAAAUUCUUCAGCUUGGAAAAGGAAGUUACGCCCACAAGUGCUUGUAACUCUGAGAAAUCAUUUUCAAUAGAUUUAUUUGGUAAAUUGUUAUUGGAAUAACAUAAAACAUUGACAGCACAUUCCAAACAUA